rnacentral:ncRNA from 1 species
CUUAUCAAGAGCGACUGAGGGAAUAGGCCCUAUGACGUCCGGCAACCUUACCCAUUUGCGGUAAAAGGUGCUAAAUCCUACAGAAUGCGCGGCAUUCUGAGAGAUAAGU